GAUGAACGCUGGCGGCGUGCCUAAUACAUGCAAGUCGAGCGAACAGACGAGGAGCUUGCUCCUCUGACGUUAGCGGCGGACGGGUGAGUAACACGUGGAUAACCUACCUAUAAGACUGGGAUAACUUCGGGAAACCGGAGCUAAUACCGGAUAAUAUAUUGAACCGCAUGGUUCAAUAGUGAAAGACGGUUUUGCUGUCACUUAUAGAUGGAUCCGCGCCGCAUUAGCUAGUUGGUAAGGUAACGGCUUACCAAGGCAACGAUGCGUAGCCGACCUGAGAGGUGGAUCGGCCACACUGGAACUGAAACACGGUCCAGAGUCCUACGGGAGGCAGCAGUAGGGAAUCUUCCGCAAUGGGCGAAAGCCUGACGGAGCAACGCCGCGUGAGAGAUGAAGGUCUUCGGAUCGUAAAACUCUGUUAUUAGGGAAGAACAAAUGUGUAAGUAACUAUGCACGUCUUGACGGUACCUAAUCAGAAAGCCACGGCUAACUACGUG
rnacentral:rRNA from 1 species